rnacentral:rRNA from 1 species
CCUAACACAUGCAAGUCGAACGGUAACAGGAAGAAGCUUGCUUCUUUGCUGACGAGUGGCGGACGGGUGAGUAAUGUCUGGGAAACUGCCUGAUGGAGGGGGAUAACUACUGGAAACGGUAGCUAAUACCGCAUAACGUCGCAAGACCAAAGAGGGGGACCUUCGGGCCUCUUGCCAUCGGAUGUGCCCAGAUGGGAUUAGCUAGUAGGUGGGGUAACGGCUCACCUAGGCGACGAUCCCUAGCUGGUCUGAGAGGAUGACCAGCCACACUGGAACUGAGACACGGUCCAGACUCCUACGGGAGGCAGCAGUGGGGAAUAUUGCACAAUGGGCGCAAGCCUGAUGCAGCCAUGCCGCGUGUAUGAAGAAGGCCUUCGGGUUGUAAAGACUUUCAGCGGGGAGGAAGGGAGUAAAGUUAAUACCUUUGCUCAUUGACGUUACCCGCAGAAGAAGCACCGGCUAACUCCGUGCCAGCAGCCGCGGUAAUACGGAGGGUGCAAGCGUUAAUCGGAAUUACUGGGCGUAAAGCGCACGCAGGCGGUUUGUUAAGUCAGAUGUGAAAUCCCCGGGCUCAACCUGGGAACUGCAUCUGAUACUGGCAAGCUUGAGUCU